GGCCUCCCGUUCGUUCCCGUAGCUUCUGGAGUCUUCUAGAUGAUAGAAAAUUGCGCGGCACGUUGAUAUCUCUAUGUAAACCCGACGUGUGGGUCUUUCUUUCAUAUUUCCUGAUAACCCCCUGCAGAAAUAGACAAACACCAAAACUCGUGGAAUUCUGUCAGAUAAAACCCUAAGUCUAGGUGUUGGUUGUAUUUGGAUCCUUUUCUUUAUUUAUUUGAUGAUUCUAUUUGGUACUUAAGGACCGUCAACAACUCCCCCAAGCUUACCUCUUGCUCGUCCCUGAGCAAGGAUGGACUCAAGAGUUUCUGCAGUGGUUUCAUGCCUUAAAAGUACACAUGCGUUCAAGCAAGAUCUCAUCUCUGAGUUAGAGUAAACUGUUAAGACUUAAAACUUAUUCAUUUUACCUUUCACCAUGGGGCUUGCAACCGUCACUUGUGUCUUGAGCAGUUAAAAGAUAGAAUAGUCAAGUCAAGCGCCAUGUCUCUUGUUCUUUGAUUAACUAUAACUCUAGAGUUUUUGCAGAUUUUCAAAUAAAACUCAAAGAUUCCUUGUAUGACUCUCUCAAAUAUCUCUUUUGUGGUAUUUUCUGGAUCCUUUCUAAGGCAGUAAUGGUAUAUGCCUUCUCUCAAAGUAUGUGGUAUUUUUGGUAUGAGGCAUAGUGAUAUUGCCUUCUCUCUCACCCUACUCUAAUAAGGUUUUGAUAUUUGGAGCUCAUAGGUGGGAGACAGAUAAUACAUACUUACAAGACAUUUAUUGCAUAGUCAAACCAUGGAUCUAGAAGAACAAGUCAAUAAUUCAAAUCAAGAUGUGCAUGUGUGGCGAAUGAAUGGUGUAUGGUGAUAACAAUGGUGAAAGUCUAAUUCUACUUUUGCUCUUUUAAGGGGAUACAUACCUUUCUUGCAUUUUGAAGCUUUUUGAGGAGAAUGAGAUGCUCUAUAUUUUUUUCUCUGAGGUGGGUAUCUUGUACCCCUAAUUCUACUGUCGAACACUUGUACAUUUUUACCUCUCGUCUCACUUUUUCUUUUCUUUGAGGUUCUGGGCACUUGCCCCUUUUUAUUUCCUCGUAUUGUUUUUUCCUUUUCUCCUUUUUUUAGAGCACUCACCCUCCUAGAAUAAUGUAGCAAGUGGUAGUAACCAAAAUAUCUCGAGCAUUUAUUUCACAAGGAAUAACAGGGAUAGGAAACAGUUUUUAGCUAUUCUCUCCCGGAUAAGAGUGGAAUAAUUUUAGGUGAAUCUGGAGGUGGAAUUGAGUGGAUGUAUGUGGAUGCGUACUUCCAGAGUAGAAGUAGCAUGUAUGAGUGAACGUGCAAGUGAAUCUUGAUUUUAACCGCAUGACAAGCUCCUAAGGGUCUACAAAGUUUGACCACACUCAAUGCUCAUAAGUAGUGAAAAGUAAAUAUAUGGUUCAUAGUCUAAUAAGCAUGUAUAUAUGGCUGUGGUAGGAUUUUAAACUUUCAUCAUACAAGAACUCAUCAUGCAACAUUUUAAAGAUUUUCAAAGAUAAAAUUCUCUAGAAUUCUAGCAUCUCUAGGAACAGAUAAACAGCAGCUCAACCUUUCCAUAUCAUAUCCGUUAACGACUUAGGCUUUAGAUCAAGUACUCUUGCCACAAGUUCUGGUUUAGAGCAAAUUUUAAUUCAUAACAGUCAUGCCUAAACUUGAGAGAGAUUUCAAUUUUGAGAACUAGUCAUGGCAGAGCAACUAUUUAUCAUUUUUAUGUGAGAGCUUAUCAUGAGGGUUCAGUUUGGCGUAGACACAGAAUUUUAAGCAAAGAUAUAUAUGCACAGAAUUUUUAUUUGGGUUUUCAUGAUUAUGCAUCUUUUUGUUAUUUGUGUAAAGUAUAAACGCGAGUAGAAACACUUAGCUGGAUAAAUGGGGGUGCUCUCACCCAAGCUGGAUUUUGACGUAAUUUCUUCUGAUGUAGCUAGGAGGUGGCGGAGGUGUAUUUGAAUGUCGACAGCACCCAGACAGCGAUUAGGAUGUCCUCUGUCUGCUAGUCUUCUUUGAUCCUUGAAUUCUGUGGAGGUCAAAUAGACAACAAAGCUUUGUAGAACUGGUUAAGUGUUAGCAAAAAUAUCUUGCCUUUAUCAUGUUGAGCCUCCCCAAUAAAUGUUACUCUCUUUGGUAGGAUCACAAUCUUAUUUUUAUAUUUCAUUUUUAUAGAGCAGAAAAAAUAUUUAUUUUAUUUUUAUGCCACCACAGUGAAUGUACUUAUGGAUUUUAUGCCAUUCGUAUAUUCACAUGGGGCUUACUAUUUUUAGCAUUUUUAUUUUCUUUUCAAGAUAGUAUGAACCCGAUUAACUAAACAAGCUAUUUAAGGAAAAUAAAUAAUUUGAAGGGAAAAGGAUAACUACCAAGUUUACCUCUUGGCACGGCGUUUAGUGUUUUUAAGUCCUCCGAACGGGACUCCUUGUGUUUUCAGUCGUCCUAGGAUUCCGGCGGCGCCUCCUCUUCUAGUACAACUCUCUUCUCUAUCCAUACCUAAUUUGGUGCUACGGUCUCCUCUCGACAAUCCUGUUCAAGAUGUAUAUCUUUGGACCUUAUUACAUCUCCUUUGUAGUCUGCCCAUCUGUCCUUGAUGAUUUGCCUCCUCUGGUUUUGGUUGCGUCGCCUUCUUCUCAUCCUGGUCUGCUUAGAAUCUUCAACUAUAUAGUUAGAAUCAUUAAAGUAGUAGCAUACCUUCUCAGAGGGAAAGUGCAUGU
rnacentral:lncRNA from 1 species